rnacentral:rRNA from 1 species
AGUGGCGCACGGGUGAGUAACACGUGAAUGACAUGCCCAUGAGCGGGGAAUAGCCCAGGGAAACUUGGAUUAAUACCCCAUGGUAUCGCGAGAUUAAAGGUGGGCCCGCAAGGGCUGCCGCUCAUGGAUUGGUUCGCGUCCUAUCAGCUUGUUGGCGGGGUAACGGCCCACCAAGGCGACGACGGGUACCUGGUCUGAGAGGACGAUCAGGCACACUGGAACUGAGACACGGUCCAGACACCUACGGGUGGCAGCAGUCGAGAAUAAUUCACAAUGGGGGCAACCCUGAUGGUGCAACGCCGCGUGGAGGAUGACGGUCUUCGGAUUGUAAACUCCUGUCAUCCGGGAGUAAGACCUGACGGUAAAUAGCCGGCAGGGUUGAUAGUACCGGAAGAGGAAGGGACGGCUAACUUCGUGCCAGCAGCCGCGGUAAUACGAAGGUCCCGAGCGUUGUUCGGAAUCACUGGGCGUAAAGGGAGCGUAGGCGGCGCGGUAAGUCAGAUGUGAAAUCCCGGGGCUCAACCCCGGAACUGCAUCCGAUACUGCCGUGCUAGAGGAUUGGAGAGGUAGCUGGAAUUCUUGGUGUAGCAGUGAAAUGCGUGGAGAUCAAGAGGAACACUCGUGGCGAAAGCGAGCUACU